AGAGUUUGAUCCUGGCUCAGAAUGAACGCUGGCGGCGUGGAUUAGGCAUGCAAGUCGAACGAGAAUGCGGUUUGAAAAAAUCGCUAGUACAGUGGCGAACGGGUGAGUAGCGCGUGGGAAACCUACCCUCGAGUGGGGAAUAACAACUCUAACGGGUUGCUAAUACCGCAUAACAUUGCGGACCGCAUGGUCUGCACUCAAAGGUGGCCUCUACUUGUAAGCUAUCGCUUGAGGAGGGUCCCGCGUCCCAUUAGCUAGUUGGUAGGGUAAUGGCCUACCAAGGCGACGAUGGGUAGCCGGCCUGAGAGGGUGGUCGGCCACACUGGAACUGAGACACGGUCCAGACUCCUACGGGAGGCAGCAGUCGAGAAGCUUCGGCAAUGGGGGAAACCCUGACCGAGCGACGCCGCGUGGGUGAUGAAGUCCUUCGGGACGUAAAACCCUGUCAUACGGGAUGAAAGAUUGAUCGGUGAAUAACCUUUCAAUUUGACAGUACCGUAAGAGGAAGCUCCGGCUAACUCCGUGCCAGCAGCCGCGGUAAUACGGGGGGAGCGAGCGUUAUUCGGAUUUACUGGGCGUAAAGGGUUCGUAGGCGGUCAAGUAAGUCAGGGGUGAAAUCUAACGGCUUAACCGUUAAACUGCCCUUGAAACCGCUUGACUUGAGAACAUGAGAGGAAAGCGGAAUUCUUGGUGUAGCGGUGAAAUGCGUGGAUAUCAAGAGGAACACCAGUGGCGAAGGCGGCUUUCUGGCAUGUUACUGACGCUGAGGAACGAAAGUCAGGGGAGCGAACGGGAUUAGA
rnacentral:rRNA from 1 species